CUCAAGCCACGCUGCAUAACCCGAGACCUCAAAUGGGGAACCCCUGUACCCUUAGAAGGUUUUGAAGACAAGGUAUUCUAUGUCUGGUUUGAUGCCACUUUUGGCUAUCUGUCCAUCACAGCCAACUACACAGACCAGUGGGAGAGAUGGUGGAAGAACCCAGAGCAAGUGAGCAGUUCUUAGUUAGACUGUGCAUGGGGAGGGUAGGCGGUAGGGUGUGGGUGUUAGGGUUGGGUGUCUGGUCUUCCUUGGGCCUUUGAAGAAGGCCUGAGGAAAUCUCUCCUAACCACAUUCCCCUAGGUGGACCUGUAUCAGUUCAUGGCCAAAGACAAUGUUCCUUUCCAUGGCUUAGUCUUUCCUUGCUCAGCCCUAGGAGCUGAGGAUAACUAUACCUUGGUCAGCCACCUCAUUGCUACAGAGUACCUGAACUAUGAGGAUGGGAAAUUCUCUAAGAGCCGGGGUGUGGGAGUGUUUGGGGACAUGGCCCAGGACACGGGGAUCCCUGCUGACAUCUGGCGCUUCUAUCUGCUGUACAUUCGGCCUGAGGGCCAGGACAGUGCUUUCUCCUGGACGGACCUGCUGCUGAAGAAUAAUUCUGAGCUGCUUAACAACCUGGGCAACUUCAUCAACAGAGCUGGGAUGUUUGUGUCUAAGUUCUUUGGGGGCUAUGUGCCUGAGAUGGUGCUCACCCCUGAUGAUAAGCGCCUGCUGGCCCAUGUCACCCUGGAGCUCCAGCACUAUCACCAGCUACUUGA
rnacentral:sRNA from 1 species